UAAGGAAUAUUGCUCAAUGGGCGAAAUCCUGAAGCAGCCACGCCGCGUGGAGGAUGAAGGGCUUUCAGCUUGUAAACUCCUGUAAAGAAGGAAAAAAUUCCCAUUAGAUGGGAAAUGAUGGUACUUCUAAAGUAAGCCCCGGCUAACUACGUGCCAGCAGCCGCGGUAAUACGUAGGGGGCAAGCGUUGUCCGGAUUUACUGGGUGUAAAGGGUGCUCAGGCGGUGUUGUGAGUCAGGGGUGAAAUCUCACAGCUUAACUGGGAAACUGCCUUUGAUACUGCAAGUCUAGAGUAUGGAAGAGAGUGAUGGAAUGUCUGGUGUAGCAGUGAAAUGCGUAGAUAUCAGAUAGAACACCAAUGGCGAAGGCAGUCACUUGGUCCAUUACUGACGCUAAAGCACGAAAGCGUGGGUAGCAAACA
rnacentral:rRNA from 1 species